AUCGACUGCAACAACGCAAGAAAUAACUGUCAAAGUCAUUAAAGGACUGAUACAACUAUUUCAAAGUUGUAACAGUUGAUUUACAACUGUCCCAACUCGAAAAACGUUGCAACAGUCAUAAAUAAACUGAUUAAACGCCUAAAGGGUUGUCACAGUCGUAAUAAAACUGAUGCAACCAUUUGAAAGUUGUAACAGUUUUUUAAUUACUGUCCCAAC
rnacentral:lncRNA from 1 species